rnacentral:rRNA from 1 species
UGCGCAGGCGGGGCAAUAAGUCAGUGGUGAAAUCCUGCGGCUUAACCGUAGAACUGCCAUUGAUACUGUUGUCCUUGAGUAUAGUUGAGGUGGGCGGAAUAUGUAAUGUAGCGGUGAAAUGCAUAGAUAUUACAUAGAACACCAAUUGCGAAGGCAGCUCACUAAGCUAUCACUGACGCUGAGGCACGAAAGCGUGGGGAGCGAACA